rnacentral:rRNA from 1 species
GUAGGUGGCAAGCGUUGUCCGGAUUUACUGGGCGUAAAGGGAGCGUAGGUGGAUAUUUAAGUGGGAUGUGAAAUACUCGGGCUUAACCUGGGUGCUGCAUUCCAACUGGAUAUCUAGAGUGCAGGAGAGGAAAGUAGAAUUCCUAGUGUAGCGGUGAAAUGCGUAGAGAUUAGGAAGAAUACCAGUGGCGAAGGCGACUUUCUGGACUGUAACUGACACUGAGGCUCGAAAGCGUGGGGAGCAAACAGGAUUAGAUACCCUGGUAGUCCACGCGUAAACGAUGAAUACUAGGUGUAGGGGUUGUCAUGACCCUCUGUGCCGCCGCUAACGCAUUAAGUAUUCCGCCCUGGGAGUACGGUCGCAAGAUUA